rnacentral:rRNA from 1 species
UACGUAGGGGGCAAGCGUUGUCCGGAUUUACUGGGCGUAAAGAGCGCGCAGGCGGUUGGAUAAGUCGAAUGUGAAAGCCCCCGGCUCAACUGGGGAGGGUCACGCGAUACUGAUCGACUCGAAGGCAGGAGAGGGAAGUGGAAUUCCCGGUGUAGUGGUGAAAUGCGUAGAUAUCGGGAGGAACACCGGUGGCGAAGGCGGAUCUCUGGGCCUUGCCUGACGCUGAGGCGCGAAAGCUAGGGGAGCGAACAGG